rnacentral:ncRNA from 1 species
AAGGAGUAAGCUGAAAAUCCUGCAAAGAGUAAGCA